GGAUCGGCGGAUCGGUCGCGCCAUCGGUGUGUACUGGUCCAGUCGGUUUCUCCCUUCUGACAAACCACGAUGUCAUUAAUUUGGUGUCGCGGGGAAUCAGGACUGUUACUUUGAAAAAAUUAGAGUGUUUAAAGCAGGCAUUAGCUUGAAUACAUUAGCAUGGAAUAAUGAAAUAGGACGUUUGAUCUUAUUUUGUUGGUUUCUAGGAUCGACGUAAUGAUUAAUAGGGAUAGUUGGG
rnacentral:rRNA from 1 species